rnacentral:rRNA from 1 species
GACGAACGCUGGCGGCGUGCCUAAUACAUGCAAGUAGAACGCUGAAGAGAGGAGCUUGCUCUUCUUGGAUGAGUUGCGAACGGGUGAGUAACGCGUAGGUAACCUGCCUUGUAGCGGGGGAUAACUAUUGGAAACGAUAGCUAAUACCGCAUAACAAUGGAUGACACAUGUCAUUUAUUUGAAAGGGGCAAUUGCUCCACUACAAGAUGGACCUGCGUUGUAUUAGCUAGUAGGUGAGGUAACGGCUCACCUAGGCGACGAUACAUAGCCGACCUGAGAGGGUGAUCGGCCACACUGGGACUGAGACACGGCCCAGACUCCUACGGGAGGCAGCAGUAGGGAAUCUUCGGCAAUGGGGGGCAACCCUGACCGAGCAACGCCGCGUGAGUGAAGAAGGUUUUCGGAUCGUAAAGCUCUGUUGUAAGUCAAGAACGAGUGUGAGAGUGGAAAGUUCACAACUGUGACGGUAGCUUACCAGAAAGGGACGGC